rnacentral:lncRNA from 1 species
AACGAAGGGCUGUCGGAGGUCGUGUGUACACACAGCAGCGUGUUGUUCAGCAUUAAGAAGGAAGGGAAUGCUAACACAUGCCGCACCGUGUGUCUACCUUACAGACGUCCUGCUAAGUAAGGUGCCUAAAAGGAAAAAACAAACAAGAGUCCAAACAAAAUCUAAAAAACCUUGCACUGAGCGGUAACCACAGAGGAGUCACUGGCUGAUUGCAACACUACAGGUGAUCCCGCUCACCCAUCCCCACCCCCACCCCAUCCCCACCCCCAUGCCAGCAACCCAGGAUUAAGCCUUGUCUUUUGUGCUCAGUAACUUCCUGCUUUCGCUUUUGGAGAUGUGUCAGCUCCAGCCCCACACAGCUUAACCUCAGCCUCCCUGCGUGUUUCAGUGCUUCAGGCUCUGCUCCAAGAACCUGGGAGGAGCCUCCUCAACUCUGUCUAUGAUGUUGGGUCAGCGUGUUCGCCAAUUUGGUGAGAAACUGGUCCGAAGGCGGCCACUGGAGCCGAGGAACGAGUCUGAGAUUCCCACACCUCAUCUCAACAGCUUCGACCUAGUGGUCUUUGGUGUGAACAGAACCCUGAGGGCUGGUGUGUACAUCCUAGCUGGUGCCGUGGCUGUGUAUGUAACUGGGCCUGCGAUCAUUAUCUCCUUCUUGGUGGCUGGCUUAUUUGCCCUGUUGUCUGGAUUCUACUUUGCUGAGUUUGGGGCCCGGGUACCCUGCUGUGGUUCUGUGUAUCUCUACAGCUAUGUAACAAUGGGACAACUGCAUGCCUUCAUCACUGGCUGGAACAUCAUACUGCAUUUUGUUCUUGGUGAGAUGACGCAAGUGGCGCAUGCUGUGGGCUUAAGACCAGGGACCUGGGAGAGAGAACUGGGGUCUUCCCUCGUUCAUCAGCCCUUUGUCAUUGACCUUGUAGAGGGAGUCAGGUCGUCGUGGCAGAAUCCCCUCCACCUGCAUUCUCCUCAGAUCUAACCUGUCAUCAUAAAAUCACUGGAAACCUAGAAGGAGGGGGAAGUGUAGGGAGUGGGUGAGAGGGAGGCACGUCCCACAGGCCCAUCCCUCAGCAUUUGAAAGGCUUUGCUCAGCUGUUGUCUUCCUGGAUUUCCCUGUACCAGUCAAGUGAGAUUUCAGCCCUCAUCUCCCAGCCCUGCUGGUCCUACUUCCCUGUGGUCUUUUCUUGCAUAACCUCCAUCUCCUCCUAACAUAUCACAUAGCUAAUUUAGUCACCUGGUUCAGUUCCUCUGAGCCCAUGAAGUGAAAAUUUGAGACAGGGUAUUUUGUCUGUUUCUUCCCCCCCAAAUCCACUCCAGGGAGUUCGUAGGGGUUCAGUUACUGUCCUUUCAUGAAUCUACCUUCUGCCAUUGCAGCCACCGCCUACUUGACCAGGGCCUGGAGCUACACCUUUGACAGCCUGAUUGGGAACCACAUCUCGCAGGUGUUAGAGGGAACGUUCUCUGAGCAUAUGCCCUCGUUCCUGGCCCCAUACCCAGACUUUGUUGCGCUGGCCCUGGUGCUGCUGAUGGCUGGGCUACUGAUUCUGGGCGUUCAUGUGACAGCUCGUGUUACCAAAGUGUCCACAGGUAUCAAUGCUUUGGUUCUCAGCUUCAUCAUCAUCUCUGGCUUCAUUAAGGGAGACCUGCACAACUGGCAGCUCACAGAACAGGACUACAAACUGGCCGCAUCUGGAUCCUCUGACAGCUAUAGCCUGGGCCCUCUGGGUUCUGGAGGGUUUGUGCCCUUUGGCUUUGAAGGGAUUCUCCAAGGAGCAGCAAUGCCUUUCUACUCAUUCUUUGGUCUCAAUGCUAUUGUCACUACAGGGAAAGAAACCCCCAACCCUCAGCGUUCCAUCCCUUGGAGCAUAGGGAUCUUCAUCUCCAUCUGCUUUUUGGCCUAUUCUGGUGUCUCAGCAGCUCUCACCCUCAUGGUGCCCUACUACCAGAUUCAUCCUUACAACCCCUUGCCGCAGGCUUUCCACCAUGUUGGGUGGGCUCCUGCCGGAUACUUCGUGGCUGUUGUCAUCCUGUGUGCUCUUUUUUACAGCCUCCUGGUUGUCAUGUUGACCAUGUCUCGGUUGAUUUGUGCAAUGGCAGAGGAUGGGCUCCUUUUCCGGGGACUUGGCAAAAUCUACGCCCGAAGAGGCACCCCCAUCGUGGCCAUCCUGGUUUCUGCAAUUCUUUCAGGUCCAUAAACACAACCCAGCCCUUCUUGGAUCAAAAUCUUUAGCUUGGAUAUAUCCACUGGCUUCUCACUCCCUCCCCCAACCCUCGUUCUAGGGAUCAUGGCAGUACUUUUCGAGAUCCAUCAUCUUGUGGAACUCCUGUCAGUUGGGGUCUUGCUUGCUUACUUCCUAGUGGCUUUUUCUGUCCUGGUCCUCAGGUACCAGCCAGACCAGAGCUUCAGCAAGAAGGAGAAAGUAGAGGAGGAAACUGAGAUGGAGCCUAUAGUUGAAGGAAAUCCUUCACCAUCUGUACCUGAAGCAGGAACCUCAAACCCUCUAAAGAGUCUGUGUAACCCUAUCAGCACCACCCCGACUCUGAAAUCUGGCCAGAUUGUCUAUGGAUGUGCCUUCCUGCUGGUUCUCCUGCUGACCAUCCUGAGCCUGCUUCUGGCCCUGUGGCCCAGCCGCGUGUUUUCUGGAGACCCCGGGUUCACAGCAGGGGCUGUGCUGCUGCUGCUGCUCAUUAUGUGGAUCACUGUCAUCAUUUGGAGGCAGCCCCAGAACCCCUCUCCUCUUCACUUUAGGGUACUUUCUUUGCCUGUCUUCCCACUGAUCAGCAUCUUUGUGAACAUUUACUUGAUAAUACAGAUGACUACUGGGACUUGGGCCCAAUUUGGCAUCUGGAAUGCUGUUGGAUUUGCCAUAUACUUUGGAUAUGGGAUCCGACACAGCUUGGAGGAGAAGAGUGAUCAAAACCCACCAGCUUCCAACUUCCAUACUUUUGAUGAACACACCUCUAGUGCUAAAUCCUGUUAACUCCAGCAAAUAGAUGCUGUGUGGUCCUCUCCAAAAGGGGAAAUGUAUUCUGGUUCAAGGGACUUUUUGAGCCUCUAUGGAGUGUGACAUUGGGAUGCAUGUAGAGCCUUCUAUUUAUUGCCACUGGACAGGAUGACUUUUAUGUAUAAUUUAAAGUAAACUUUUAAAAGUAUAACAUGCCUACAGAAAUGUGUAUGCUUCAUAAGUGUGCUCGCAAGAUGAAUUUUCACAAUUAAGUACUACAAUGUAACCAACAACAGAGGAAGAAAUGAACUGUUACCUUGCACAUAAGAAGCACUUCUUGGAGUCCCCGUCGUGGCUCAGCCAAAAUGACUCUGACUAGUAUCCAUGAGGACGCAGGUUCGAUCCCUGGUCUCACUCACUGGGUUAAGGAUUGGCUUUGGCUGUGGUGUAGGCUGGCAGCUGCGGCUCUGAUUUAACCUACAGUGUGGGAACUUCCACAUGCCAUGGGUGAGGCGCUAAAAAGCAAAGCAAAAAAAAAAAAAAAAAAAAAAAAA